AUUGAACGCUGUCGGCAGGCCUAACACAUGCAAGUCGAGCGGAGCGGCGGACGGGUGAGUAAUGCAUAGGAAUCUGCCCGGCAGAGGGGGCUAACGUCCGGAAACUGGCGCUAAUACCGCAUACUAUCAGAUGAGCCUAGGUCGAAUUAGCUAGUUGGUGGGUCAAAGGCCUACUAAGGCGACGGUCCGUAACUGGUCUGAGAGGAGGAUCAGUCACACUGGAACUGAGGCACGGUCCAGACGCCUACGGGAGGCAGCAGUGGGGAAUAUUGGACAAUGGGCGAAAGCCUGAUCCAGCCAUGCCGCGUGUGUGAAGAAGGUCUUUGGAUUGUAGAGCACUUUAAGUUGGGAGGCGUUACCAACAGAAUAAGCACCGGCUAACUACGUGCCAGCCGCCGCGGUAAUAC
rnacentral:rRNA from 1 species